rnacentral:rRNA from 1 species
CCGGGGUGAGUAACACGUGAGCAACCCUGCCUUUCAGAGGGGGACGAACAGUUGGAAACGACUGCUAAUACCGCAUAAAAUAACGGAACCGCAUGAUUCUGUUAUCAAAGGAGAAAUCCGCUGAAAGAUGGGCUCGCGUCUGAUUAGAUAGUUGGUGAGGUAACGGCCCACCAAGUCGACGAUCAGUAGCCGGACUGAGAGGUUGAACGGCCACAUUGGGACUGAGACACGGCCCAGACUCCUACGGGAGGCAGCAG